rnacentral:rRNA from 1 species
UACGGGGGGGCAAGCGUUGUUCGGAAUUACUGGGCGUAAAGGGCUCGUAGGUGGCCAACUAAGUCAGACGUGAAAUCCCUCGGCUUAACCGGGGAACUGCGUCUGAUACUGGAUGGCUUGAGUUUGGGAGAGGGACGCGGAAUUCCAGGUGUAGCGGUGAAAUGCGUCAGAUAUCGGUGAAGGAACACCCGGUGGCGAAGGC